ACGGGUGAGUAACGCGUAGGGAUCUACCUUGUAGAGGGGAAUAACCUGGGGAAACUCAGGCUAAUACCGCGUAAGCCGGGAACGGGAAAGGUUGGGACCAGAGAAGGCCAAUCGCUAUAAGAUGAACCUGCGUCAGAUUAGCUAAUUGGUAGGGUAAAGGCCUACCAAGGCAAAGAUCUGUAGCUGGUCUGAGAGGACGACCAGCCACACUGGGACUGAGACACGGCCCAGACUCUUACGGGAGGCAGCAGUGGGGAAUAUUGGACAAUGGGCGCAAGCCUGAUCCAGCAAUGCCGCGUGUGUGAAGAAGGCCUGCGGGUUGUAAAGCACUUUCGUUGGGGAGGAAGUUGUUGGGGUUAAUAACCUUGACAAUUGACGUUACCCAAAUAAGAAGCACCGGCAAACUCUGUGCCAGCAGCCGCGGUAAUACAGAGGGUGCAAGCGUUAAUCGGAGUUACUGGGCGUAAAGGGUGCGUAGGUGGUUAAUUAAGUUAGGUGUGAAAUCCCCGGGCUUAACCUGGGAAUUGCAUCUAAAACUAAUUAGCUAGAGGAAGGGAGAGGGAAGUGGAAUUUCCGGU
rnacentral:rRNA from 1 species